rnacentral:rRNA from 1 species
UGCGUAGGCGGCUGGAUAAGUCACGUGUGAAAGGCCGGGGCUCAACCCCGGAUCGGCAUGUGAGACUGUUCGGCUCGAGCGUGGUAGAGGCGGGCGGAAUUCCUGGUGUAGCGGUGGAAUGCGUAGAGAUCAGGAAGAACACCGGUGGCGAAGGCGGCUCGCUGGGCCAUUGCUGACGCUGAGGCACGAAAGCGUGGGGAGCAAACAGGAUUAGAUACCCUGGUAGUCCACGCCCUAAACGAUGGACACUAGGCGUCGGGGGGAGCGACCCUCCCGGUGCCGUCGCUAACGCAAUAAGUGUCCCGCCUGGGGAGUACGGCCGCAAGGCUGAA